CAAUAGCGUAUUUUUAAAUUGUUGCGGUUAAAAGCUCGUAGUUGGAUUUCUGCCGAGGACGACCGGUCCGCCCUUUGGGUGAGUAUCUGGCUCGGCCUGGGCGCCUUCUUGGAGAACGUAGCUGCAGCAUGGAAUAGUAAGAUAGGACAUCGGUUCUAUUUUGUUGGCAUCUGGCGCUGAGGUAAUGAUUCAUAGGGAUAGUCGGGGGCAGUCGUAUUUGAUUGUCAGAGGUGAAAUUCUUGGAUUUGUCAAAGAGCGAUUAUUGCGAAAGCAUUUGCCAAUGAUGUUUUNCAUUG
rnacentral:rRNA from 1 species